CCUACGGGUGGCAGCAGUGAGGAAUAUUGGUCAAUGGGCGAGAGCCUGAACCAGCCAAGUCGCGUGAGGGAGUACUGCCCUAUGGGUUGUAAACCUCUUUUGUCGGGGAGCAAAAGCCGGACGUGUCCGGCUGUGAGAGUACCCGAAGAAAAAGCAUCGGCUAACUCCGUGCCAGCAGCCGCGGUAAUACGGAGGAUGCGAGCGUUAUCCGGAUUUAUUGGGUUUAAAGGGUGCGCAGGCGGAGUUUUAAGUCAGCGGUAAAAUCGUGGGGCUCAACCCCAUCCAGCCGUUGAAACUGGGGAUCUAGAGUGUGCGAGAGGUAUGCGGAAUGCGUGGUGGAGCGGUGAAAUGCAUAGAUAUCACGCAGAACCCCGAUUGCGAAGGCAGCAUACCGGUGCACAACUGACGCUCAGGCACGAAAGCGUGGGUAUCGAACAGGAUUAGAUACCCCUGUAGUC
rnacentral:rRNA from 1 species